rnacentral:lncRNA from 1 species
CUUUCUGACCUCGCUUCCUUCGAGUGUAGACGGCUUGCCAUCGCCGUUCUCAAAAAGUGUUCGUAAUAUUUUCUCUCAUUUGGCUUAACAGCCCUCAAUGUCUGUGUUACUGUUAUUCUCCUUGUCCUGUCUUUUACUGUUUAUAUUUUGUACUGUCUUUACUGUCCUGUUUUUGUUACCAUUUUUACCCCUUCGCAAAAACGUCUCAAAUUUUAUUUAAUUUAUCCUUUGCGGGAAGGAAUAUGUUAACGAAGUCGUGUCUCGCCUUUACCUUCUAAACGCGGAGUAGAUGAAACAGAGGCGACUGAAGAAGGGGAAUUUUCCUUAUGUUGUAUGUCCUGAACUCUAUUUUAUCGUUGUUUAAGAAAAAUGUCCAUUUCCUUGGUUUUGUGUUUAUGUUUUCGUUUCUCAUUGUGUUCGACGUUUUUUUGGUGUCCUGUAUACCCAUAUAUGCAUGUAUAUAUACAUGUAGAUGUAGGUACGUACAUGUAUGUAUGUAUGCAUAUGUUUUAUUUAUUAAUUUGUUAUUAUAUAUAUAUAUAUGUGUGUGUGUACGUGUGUGUGUGUGUGUGUGUGUGUAUACACAUAUGUAUAUAUAAAUAUAUGUAUGUAUAUAUGUAUAUAUAAUGCAUAUAUAUAUAUAUCAUCAUCAUCGUUUAACGUCCAUUUUCCAUGGUAGCAAGGGUUGGACGGUUCGACCGGGGUCUGGGAAGCCAGGAGGCUGCACCAGGUUCCAGUCUGAUUUGGCAGUGUUUGUAGAAACACUUUGUGGAAGCUGGAUGCCCUUCCUAACGCCAACCACUCCGUGUGUGUGGUGGGUGCUUUUUACGUGCCACCGGCACAGGUGCUAGUGGAGGCUGGCAAUAGUCAUGAUCGGUUGGUGCUUUUUACGUGCCACCUGCACGGAAGCCAGUCAAGGCGGCACUGGCAUCUGCCACGUUCAGAUCGUGCUUUUUACGUGCCAACGGCACAGGUAUCACAACUACAAUUUCCAUUUGAUUUUUAUUUUGAUGUUGAUGUACUUGACUCCAUAGGUCUCCUCAAGCACAGCAGGUCACCCUACGAUCCAAGGUAAGCACAGCAGUUCAUCCUGCAAUCCAAGGUACUUUGGAUGGGCUGGGGCUAUGCAAAACUGGUGCAGGAGGCAGCCAUGAAAUCACAUUAUUUGUCUGGUCUUUGCAGUCAUAGCAUAUCUCCAGAGAUCUCGGUCUUUCGUCAUUGCCUCUGUGAGCCCCAACAUUCGAUGGUCAUGCUUGACCACCUCAUCCCAUGUCUUCCUGGGUCUGCCUCUACCCCAGAUCCCUUCAACUGUUUGGAAGUGUCACUUCUUCACACAUCUCUCCUUAUCCAUCCAUAGUAUAUGACCAUACCAGCGCAAACGUCUCUCUUGCAGGUCAAAUCCGAUGCUUCUUAUGUCCAGCAUUUCUCUCACGGCGCUCACACUCUGUCGUGUGUGCACACUGACAUUACACAUCCAGCGGAUCAUGCUAGCUUAAUUUCUUUCAAGCCUACGUAUGUUCUCUGCAGUCACAGCCCAUGUUUCAAUACCGUGGAGCAUGUCAGUUCGCACACAUGCGCCGUACAAUCUACCUUUCACUCUGAACGAGAUACCCUUUGUCAUCAGUAAGGGUAGAAGCUUUCUAAAUUUUGCUCAGGCUAUUCGUAUUCUAGUGGUAACACUCUCUGAGCAUCCAACACCCCCACUAACUUGGUCACAUUGGUAGCAGAAACUAUCAACUACUUCUAGUUUCUACCCCUGUUUUCUGAGUAUCUGUGGUGUCUAUUGCCCCUGUGCAUCUGCCGCACAUGAUGUUGCUGCACCUCUUAUGUGUCCAUAGCUUACACUGGGUACAUCUUAUGGAGUUUUUACCUACCCUUUUUCUACAGAUCAAGCAGGGCCACCUACCUGAGUUCACCUUCAUACUUACUAUAAAUUUGGUCUUUGCUAGAUUGACUCUAAGGCCUUUUGAUUCUAAACCUAGAUUCCACACCCGAAAUUUCUUUUCUAGUUCCAGUAGUGAUUCUGCUGAGGUCCAGAUCAUCAGCAUAGAGGAGCUCCUAGGGGCAACCCGUCUUGAAUUUCUCUGUUAUUGCCUGGAGGACUAUGAUGAAUAAAAGGGGACUGAGGGCUGAACCUUAGUGGACCAUUACUUCUACCCAGAAUUCUUCACUAUACUCAUUGCCAAUCCUAACCUUACUAACAGCCUCUCUGUACUGCCUGUACUGCCCUUAUUAACCAUUCAUCAAUCUCCAGUUUCUGCAUUGCCCACCAGAUAAGGGAUCGGGAGACCCUGUCAAAGGCUUUCUCCAAGUCCAUGAAAGCUAAAUAGAGGUGUGUAUGUGUUUUUUUUUUUUUAUAUAUAUAUAUAUAUAUAUAUAUAUAUAUAUAUAUACACACAUAUAUAUAUAUAUAGUCCUCCAUCUUCGUUUUCUCUUGGUCUUUCUUCCGUCUCUUGUUUGUGACAAAAAGCUUUGCUUUAAUCGUAAAACUACUUCUCUUUCCUUGUCUGAGCAUCUGCUAAUACUUUGCCUAUACCACGUCCUUUCGCUGUUUUGUUUUUUGUUGUUUUUCGUGUGCUUUUCCUCAGUUUUUGGGAUUAAUUAUAUAUAUGUACAUAUAUAUAUAUAUAUAUAUAUAUAUAUAUAUAUAUAUAUAUAUAUAUAUAUAUAUAUAUAUAUAUAUAUGAAAUUUAAAUAAUGAAGGAGAUAAAUUGAAUAUUAAUUUAAUUAAUAUCAAUUUAAAACCAGUAGCCUAGCAUAUAUAAAAAACCUGAAAAAUCAGAAGAAAUUUCAGUACAUGUGUAUAUUUAGGCAAACCACUUGGUGGAUAACCAUACGCUAGAAGAAGAUCACAUACGAUCUAACUACAAAGAAAAAAUAUUCUCCAGAGAAAAUUCAGUGAACACCAGAACAUAAGCGGGCAAGACAGAUGAAAAUUAAAUAUAAAUCAAGAAUUAAUCGUAUACCGGUUUCGUCUGUUACCGAAUAAAUUACUUACUGAAUAAAUUACUUGUGUUCUCUAAUUGGCAACAUUAACUGCAGUAAAUUAUCUGCUGCAGAACUGUUUCCGGAAUUUAGCACUCCAGAACUUAGACAUUUGAAAAUAACCCCAAUAUAAUCGGUAGAACUAAGCACAUGUCUAGUUUUAUAUGGACAAAUAGUGUUUAGUUUUUCAAAUUAUAUUGAAAUUGGAACGAUCGUACUGACGAGUUCUGGGGACGAAGGAUUACGUAAGUAAUUUAUUCAGUAACACACGAAACUGAUAUACGAUUAAUUCUUGAUUUUUAUUUAAUUUUCAUCUGUCUUGCCCGCUUAUGUUCUGGUAUUUGCUGAAUUUUCUCUAGAGAACAUUUUUUCUUUGUAGUUAGAUCGUAUGUGAUCUUAUUCUAGAGUAUGGUUAUCCACCUAGUGGUUUGCCCAAACAUACAUACACACACACACACACACACACACACACACACACACACACACACACACACAUAUAUAUAUAUAUAUAUAUAUAUAUAUAUAUAUAUAUAUAUAUAUAUAGUAGCAGCAGAAAAGAGGGAUUUCGAUUAUCCCCACGUGGUGAUUUGUAAUGUAUAUAAGAAAUUAAAAAAGGAAAAUACGCACACUUACAUAGUUUUAAUAUAAUUUUUAAUAUAUCAACCGGUUUCGCUAUCACUAUUCAUAUUAUGUUUUACUUAUUUGAAUAUGCAUUUUUUCUUAAGAAGAAAUUUUGUCCAUGUUGUGUGUGAUGUGAUGAAAUUCACGAGUGAAUGACUUCACAAGUAGAUAAAAAAGGGAGGUAAUUGGUUAUCGUUAUUAUUGUUAUUGCUGUGAGUAAGGGAGAUAACUGUUCAACUUUCGGUAAUGGGAGGGGAAUAUAUAUGUACAAAGACAAGUUUCGAAAACCUUGUUUAGUGAUGAGAUUUAUGUACAGUGAUGUAAUCGUGAAUUGAAAUAUGUAAAAAACUAAAAGUUGGUUAUGCGUGCAUAUUAAGACGUGUUCUGUAUUUUUCAAUGAAAAAAGUUUCUUUAUUUAAACGUUCUAGUGGAGAGAUUACGUAUUUGCACUGGUAGAAGGGGAAGACUGUGAAAUUCGGUUUGAUGUUACCUGCUCAUUUUUCUGUAUGCUUACUGAGAGGAAUUUGUCUGUAUUGUGGGAAACGGAUUUGCUCUUUAUGUAGAGUGGUUCUCUUUCUCAAGGUCAUACUCGUUUGUCCAAUAUAGUGGUGUCUGCAACCUGAGCAGGUUAUUGCAUAACUUAGGUUUUCAGAGGCACAAGUGAAACUAAUUUUAAUUGUGAGCCUCUGUCAUUGUUUGAAAAGGAAAACUGAGUCUUCAAGCAGGUUGGGGCAGGUUCCACAGUUUGGGCGUCCAUAUUUUUCAACCAUUGGUUUCGUGGUUGUUUUGUGAAGCUUCGCAUUUGUAAGUAGUCUCUUUAGCGAUUUGUCUUGUUUUUUUGCAUUUGAUGAGUUUGUGUGUUUUCAGGAUGUCGUUCAUCUUUGGAUCUCUAGUUAGUAAAGGAAGAAGUUUGUACAAUAGUGUUGAAUGCCUCACUGUUUCUGGGAUUGUGUGUUGAUAUAAAUAGUAAUGUUUUGAGUUGAGGUUUGGUGUUAUGCUUUGUUGUUUUUAGUGUUUUUGUGUCUAAUUGUUUGGCACGUUUAAUUCCCUCGUCGAUAAGUGAGGAUGGAUAUUGUCUUUCAAUAGGUCCCGAGUAUAUACAUAUAUAUAUAUAUAUAUAUAUAUAUAUAUAUAUAUGUGUGUGUGUGUGUGUGUGUGUGUGUGUGUGUAUGUGUAUAUAUAUAUAUUUAUAUAUAUAAUAUAUAUAUAUGUAUAUGAGAGAUCCAAGGUGGCAGGUAACGCUAUGUAAGUGCUAUGGAAGGACUGUAGUUAAACUCUGGGUUUCAUAAUUAUAUGAGUGAGGAGUCUAAUGUGGGUCUGGUAUGAACAUGUAUCUGUUAAAUAAAAUGAGACAAGAAAGCCAAGGCUGUGUGGAAUUUUCAGGACAUUUAUGAAGAAAGAUGAUGCCACAUUUAUCCUUUCUUAGUCAGCACCAUGCAUUCUUUACUCUUUCUUUCUCUACUGACAGACAACCUUUUUCAACACUAUCAACUAUUAACCAGUGAGCCAUCACUAUCAUGAGAAUUGUUGGGCAAACAAAUAAAUAUAUGUAAAUAAUAUUUCUUCCUUCUUGGUGUUAAUUCUUUGAUGUUCACUGGUUACUCCAAUACAAGAACCUUUAAGUGUUACAUCAACACACUAUAUUUGGUAGUGGGCUGUAGCUACCAUAUCAACGUGAUAUGGCAUGUCACAUUCAGCCUGCUACAUAUACGUACUUUGGAAUCUUCCAUGGAGACUGUACACUGAUAUACUAUAUUUUUCAUGAGGCAUUAUUUUCCAAGGGACAGGUGGGGCAGCUACAGCUGCAUAGACUUCAAUAGGGUGCUAAAGUAGAGUUUGUGGGCCUAUGAUUACCUGUGGUUAAUUGGCUCUUAUAUUUAGUAUUAGCUUCAGCAUUAGGAUUGGUAUUGGUUGUGGUUGUGAGAGAGCUAUCCCAGGAGUGUAGCUUAUAGUACCUAUAAUAUUAUUCCUAUUAUUCUCUCCUUCAGUAACUGGUAUAACUGGAUCAUUAGGAUGGUUAAGAGGAUUGGGUGGAGUAUUAGGAUUGGUGCUAGUGAGGUGAGGGUCAACGUUGUUAAGGAGUUUAAUGAUGUCUUAUGGCUAUAGUUGGGGGGCUGGGGGUUAUAGUGUGCUGUAUUUGUGUUAUGUCCCACAUUAUUAUGAAAUAUUUCAUCAUCUCUGUGGGACUGGCCCAAAAAGUGUGCCUUGCUGACUAACAUUACUGAUUGUGUCAGUCCACUAUUUAUUAGUAGUGGACCAGCCCACUUCUCACCUGGGGGCAUCUGCCACAACACCUUCCCUCUUUGAGAUUUUUUUCGACACCUUUUUUUAAACUUUUUUUUCUAACCAAAAUUAUUUUUCUUAUUUAGAUUUUUUUCUUGUUCCACACAGAAUUAUAUAUAUAUUUUUGUUUCUUCAAAGAUUACACAGCAUUAUUAUAUAUAUAUUUUUCAUUUUUAUGACUUUUCCUUUUGUUACAGAAACUGGACCGGUUACCUGCAAACUUUCAUUAUCUUUUAAAGUGUUUGCAUUAAAACGAUUCCUCAAUGAAGCAUUUUCAGUAGAAGGACCUUUUCCUGUAACAGAUGGCUCAGAUUCUCUAAUUUCAGAAUUUUCUACGUGUUCUUCACUAGUCACGUCAAUUGACAUUUCAUCUGGAGUCUUUUCAAGGAGGACUUGUUUAGUAUCCUCAAUCACAAAAUGGCUUGCAUUUGCUUUGUCCAUUUUAACGUUCUUAGCAACUGGUUCAUUUUCCAUUUUUAAAUCUUCUGACAUGACUCAAUUUAAUGUAUUGUUAAUUCUUUUUCAUUUUUUUUUCUUCUAACCAGAAUUAUUUUUUGUUCCACACAGAACCAUUAUUUUUCAAAAUUACUUAUAAAUCCUUUGAAUGGACUUAUUAUUAUUAUCAUCAUUUUUUGUUCCAUACUGAGCCAUAGUUUUUUUUUCAAAAUGCUGCAGGUAGUACCAAGUCUACAUUAUUACUGGUAGCGCUACUGCAUAUAGCAACCUGACUUAUAAAUCCUUCAAACGGACUUAUUAUUUUUAUCCCCCACACAGAACCAUAGAUUUUUUGGUUCUCAAAAUGCUGCAGGUAGUAACCAAGUCAACAUUAUUAUUGGUAGUGCUACUAUAUAUAGCAACCUGACUAAUAAAUACUUUGAAUGGACUUUUUUUUCUCAAAAUGAAUUAUUUUUCACCAUGUGUCGUUUCAGUUCUGUGUAGAGUUCCAGUUUUAUCAGACAGUGUUUUCUUCAGG